rnacentral:rRNA from 1 species
UACGUAGGGGGCGAGCGUUGUCCGGAUUUAUUGGGCGUAAAGAGCUCGUAGGCGGUUCGAUAAGUCGGACGUGAAAUCUCCACGCUCAACGUGGAGGGGCCGUUCGAUACUGUCGUGACUCGAGUCCGGUAGGGGAGUGUGGAAUUCCCGGUGUAGCGGUGGAAUGCGCAGAUAUCAGGAGGAACACCAACAGCGAAGGCAGCACUCUGGGCCGGUACUGACGCUGAGGAGCGAAAGCAUGGGGAGCGAACAGG